rnacentral:rRNA from 1 species
UGGGGAAUAUUGGACAAUGGGCGCAAGCCUGAUCCAGCCAUGCCGCGUGAGUGAUGAAGGCCCUAGGGUUGUAAAGCUCUUUCACCGGUGAAGAUAAUGACGGUAACCGGAGAAGAAGCCCCGGCUUACUUCGUGCCAGCAGCCGCGGUAAUACGAAGGGGGCUAGCGUUGUUCGGAUUUACUGGGCGUAAAGCGCACGUAGGCGGACUUUUAAGUCAGGGGUGAAAUCCCGGGGCUCAACCCCGGAACUGCCUUUGAUACUGGAAGUCUUGAGUAUGGUAGAGGUGAGUGGAAUUCCGAGUGUAGAGGUGAAAUUCGUAGAUAUUCGGAGGAACACCAGUGGCGAAGGCGGCUCACUGGACCAUUACUGACGCUGAGGUGCGAAAGCGUGGGGAGCAAACAGG